CCCUGAAGGCCUGGAGGUGGGGGAUUUCGCUUCUUAGUUGGACGGGAGCCCCUUGGGUUCCUCACUUCUUAGCCCGCGCCCUGCGGGAGGAGCGACUCUGCUUGUCCCUCAAGAUGCUUGUGAAGGUGCCCGCUGCGCUCUGACACCGGCGAUCUCUUAGAAUGAAGACCAUCCCUGGGCAAAAUUGCGAAGAAGUGGAAGGAAAGAAGAGAAAGAAGAAGAAAGGAAUAUAGGAUCUUCCUCAGCAUCAGUAAUUUCUUUGGAAAGAAUUGGGGAGAAAGAAGAUAUACAUCUUUAAAAGGAAAUUGUCACUACCUCGCUAACCCAACUCUACAAAUAUACCUGACU
rnacentral:lncRNA from 1 species